GGUGGCUCAUUCUCGGCUUGUGUC
rnacentral:miRNA from 1 species